AAAGAGAAUCUUGAUAAUAAUUAAAAGAAUGACAGCAGGUCAGGCUUGUUGAUGCAUUUUAUUGUGAGAUGGGGAAGUCUGGUAAAAAACUAGAAAAUGACCAUGAU
rnacentral:miRNA from 1 species